AUUGAACGCUGGCGGCAGGCUUAACACAUGCAAGUCGAGCGGAGAUGAGGUGCUUGCACCUUAUCUUAGCGGCGGACGGGUGAGUAAUGCUUAGGAAUCUGCCUAUUAGUGGGGGACAACAUUCCGAAAGGAAUGCUAAUACCGCAUACGUCCUACGGGAGAAAGCAGGGGAUCUUCGGACCUUGCGCUAAUAGAUGAGCCUAAGUCGGAUUAGCUAGUUGGUGGGGUAAAGGCCUACCAAGGCGACGAUCUGUAGCGGGUCCGAGAGGAUGAUCCGCCACACUGGGACUGAGAGACGGCGCAGACUCCUACGGGAGGCAGCAGUGGGGAAUAUUGGACAAGGGGGGGAACCCUGAUCCAGCCAUGCCGCGUGUGUGAAGAAGGACUUAUGGUUGUAAAGCACUUUAAGCGAGGAGGAGGCUACUGAGACUAAUACUCUUGGAUAGUGGACGUUACUCGCAGAAUAAGCACCGGCUAACUCUGUGCCAGCCGCCGCCGUAA
rnacentral:rRNA from 1 species